GUCUCGCUGAGUUGCUUAGAGCCUCAUCAUUGCUGAGGCUGGCUGUGAACUUUCAAUCCUUCUGUGCCUCCCAAGACGCUGGGAUUAUAGGUGUUACAGGGUGGGACAGGGAGAAGAUGUGAGACUCUGUGCUGCAGAUGGAGGCAAUUUACACAAUUUGGAGCAAGGGGCAAACUUGCCUGUAAACAUGGUGUCUUGGAGGUCCCUAUAGCUCAUGAGCAUCAAGAGUGCACUAGGGUGAGGUUGUAGUCAUCUGGGGCAACCAUUCUGACACGAGAGAGGGCCAUACUAUUCAAACACUGUUGGACAACACCGAGACUCAGAAGACUCAAGACAAAGUAAAAGCUGGUGCCGUAGUUUGGAUCUGGAAAGUUUCCCACAAAGACACAUGUGUUAAAAGCUUGGUUCCCAGUCCUUGGUGCUAUUGGAAGGUAAUGUAACUUUUAAGAGGUGAUGUCUAAUGGGAACACAUCCUGACAAGAUGUGUUGCUCCACCACAGGCCCAGAGAAGCAAUGUGGCCAGCCAAAUGUGGACUGAAACCUACAAAACUGUGAGCCAAAGAAAAUUUUACUCUUUUUAAGUUGAUUAGCUCAGAUUGUUACAGAAACAAAAGCUGACUAUCAUAGCUGGUCUGACUUGAAAAAUAGCCUGAACUUUGAAUAUGCUCCUCUAUCCACCCAUUGGCAGAGGAUGGAAGUCUUACUGGCUCAUUGUUUGAGCACAAUCAUCUGACUACUAAACUAUGCUGACACAGGCAAUUUCUAAGAAACUGCACAUAAAAAUAAAUAUUAAAAUACAUUCAAGGAGGGGCUGGGGCUGUGGCUUAGUGGCAGAGCACUUGCCUAGCAAGGAUGAGGGAGGCCCUGGGCUCGAUCCUCAGCACCACAUAAAAAUAAAUAAACAAAACACAGAUAUUGUGUCCAUCUAUAACUAAAAAAAAAAUACAUUCAAGGAAAGCCAUUUAAAGAAUUAAAGGAGAAGUAUGACAACUAUGAGUCAAGAGAUUCUCAGUAAGAAGAGAAAUUAUUAUUAUUGUCAUUAUUAUUUUGUGGAACUGGGGAAUGAAUCCAGAGCUUUAUGUAUGCUAGAUAAACAUUCUACAAAGCCCAUUUUUAAAAUUUUGAGGCAAGUUCUCACUAACUUGCCUGGGCAGGCCUUGAACUUGUGAAUUUGUGAUUUCUGCCCAGCCAGAAUCUAUUUUUUUAAGCAACAACAAACGAACUCAGAAAUUAAAGAGCUGGAGUUGAAAAAUAUAAACUUUAAAAUAAGCCAGGCACAGUGCUACACAUCUAUAAUCCCAGUGACUUGGGAGGCUGAGGCAUGAGGAUCACAGCUUUGAGGGCAGCCUUGGCAACUUGCAAGGCCCUACAUCAAAAUCAAAAUAAAAAGGAUGGGAGAUGGAGCUUAGUGGUAAAUGUCCAUAGGUUCAAUCCCUCUUCACAAACAACAAUAAAAACUGGAGAGAAAUUUUUUUAAUACAUUUCAAGAACCUUAAAAAUAUUCUCACAUGUUCUAUCUACCUACUCCAUUUCUUGGUUUUAUCAAAAGAAUCAGAAUAGCAAUGUUUUCUACACAUUUAUAUAGAGUUACAAACGAGCUAAACAUAUACUACGGGCUGGGGCUGUAGCUCAGCGGCAGAGCGCUUGCCUAGAAUGCAUGAGGCACUGGGUUCGAUCCUCAGCACCACAUAAAAAUAAAUAAAAUAAAGGCAUUCUGUCCAUCUACAUCUACAAAAAAGAAAAAAAUUUAAAAAAAAAUUAAAAUAAACAUAUACUAACAGGAGGUGGUUAAAUAAAACAUGACAUUUCCACAUGGUUGAAAACAGUGUACAAUAAGAGACUAAAUUUAAAGUAUCAAGACGAUUUUACACCUUGAAAGUGUGAAAAGAAUAAUUUUGUAAAUAAAUACUUUAGAAUUAAUUUUCAAGAAAGUGACAAUUAAUUUACACAGAUCCAUCCUAUCCUUCAAUAUAACUACUUACAUUCCAAUAAAAUGAUUUUACAAACAAAAUAACAAAUAAAAACUUAGCAAAUAAAAUAAUUAAAACUCAGGAAGAGGGGCUACAGUUGUGGCUCAGCAGCAGAGUGCUCACCUAACAUGGGUGAGGCUCUGGGUUUGAUUCUCAGCACCAUAUAAAAAUAAAGAUAUUAUGUUCAACUAAAAAAAAAAAAAAGAACCACUCAGGAAGAAAAUGACACUGAACAUUCUUUGAACAGUAAUAAAUUAUAUUAAAAAACAAAUUGUCGAAGAAGAUCAAUACCUUGUUUCCCAAGGCCGUGCAGUAAAGGCAUAGGGCUUAGAGGUUAGGGCACCUACAGGGCAGAUAUCAAUAAUAUUCCCAGAUAAUUCAGACAUGAACAUUUUUUCAACAUAUGUGCCAACUUGCAUAUCAUUUCCUCUGCCUGUUGUUCCUAGAUCAUCUACUCCUGCAAUCUCACUUGCAAACCUAUAAGAUAAAAAUAUGCUGUCAAAUGGUUGAGUCCAGAAAUUUUUUUCCUGUUAAUGGUCACAAAGAAUAUGAUAUUCAAAACACUAAAAAGCCAUGAGUAUAUUUUCAGUGGUGAGCACAGUCCUUGAAUAAAGACAAUUCAAUAAAUAUUUGCAUUUAAUUGAGAUACAAUAUGCAAACAGAAAACUGUACAAAUCCUAGGCAGACAGCUCAACAAGUUAUCAUAGGAUAAAUACUUGUAGGGUUUAAUUUUUAUUUAACUUUUUUAGUUUGUUUUUCUUGUAGUACUAGGGAUUGAACUCAGGGGCACUCUACAUUGAGUUAUAUCCCGAGUCUUUUUUUUUUUUUUUAACUUUUUGAGACAGGGUUUUGCCAAGUUGUUCAUGCUGGCCUCAAAUUUGUGAUCCUCCUGCCUCAGUCUUUCAAGUGGCUAGAAUUACAGG